AGGAGUGUGUGUGAGGACGGUACAGGAAUAGUAGAUACAGGAGGAGGUGUAGUGUAGAGGAGUGUGUGUGAGGACAGUACAGGAAUAGUAGAUACAGGAGGAGGUGUAGUGUAGAGGAGUGUGUGUGAGGACGGUACAGGAAUAGUAGAUACAGGAGGUGUAGUGUAGAGGAGUGUGUGUGAGGACGGUACAGGAAUAGUAGAUACAGGAGGUGUAGUGUAGAGGAGUGUGUGUGAGGACGGUACAGGAAUAGUAGAUACAGGAGGAGGUGUAGUGUAGAGGAGUGUGUGUGAGGACGGUACAGGAAUAGUAGAUACAGGAGGUGUAGUGUAGAGGAGUGUGUGUGAGGACGGUACAGGAAUAGUAGAUACAGGAGGAGGUGUAGUGUAGAGGAGUGUGUGUGAGGACGGUACAGGAAUAGUAGAUACAGGAGGAGGUGUAGUGUAGAGGAGUGUGUGUGAGGACGGUACAGGAAUAGUAGAUACAGGAGGAGGUGUAGUGUAGAGGAGUGUGUGUGAGGACGGUACAGGAAUAGUAGAUACAGGAGGAGGUGUAGUGUAGAGGAGUGUGUGUGAGGACGGUACAGGAAUAGUAGAUACAGGAGAGGUGUAGUGUAGAGGAGUGUGUGUGAGGACGGUACAGGAAUAGUAGAUACAGGAGGUGUAGUGUAGAGGAGUGUGUGUGAGGACGGUACAGGAAUAGUAGAUACAGGAGGAGGUGUAGUGUAGAGGAGUGUGUGUGAGGACGGUACAGGAAUAGUAGAUACAGGAGGAGGUGUAGUGUAGAGGAGUGUGUGUGAGGACGGUACAGGAAUAGUAGAUACAGGAGGAGGUGUAGUGUAGAGGAGUGUGUGUGAGGACGGUACAGGAAUAGUAGAUACAGGAGGAGGUGUAGUGUAGAGGAGUGUGUGUGAGGACGGUACAGGAAUAGUAGAUACAGGAGGAGGUGUAGUGUAGAGGAGUGUGUGUGAGGACGGUACAGGAAUAGUAGAUACAGGAGGAGGUGUAGUGUAGAGGAGUGUGUGUGAGGACGGUACAGGAAUAGUAGAUACAGGAGGUGUAGUGUAGAGGAGUGUGUGUGAGGACAGUACAGGAAUAGUAGAUACAGGAGGAGGUGUAGUGUAGAGGAGUGUGUGUGAGGACGGUACAGGAAUAGUAGAUACAGGAGGUGUAGUGUAGAGGAGUGUGUGUGAGGACAGUACAGGAAUAGUAGAUACAGGAGGAGGUGUAGUGUAGAGGAGUGUGUGUGAGGACGGUACAGGAAUAGUAGAUACAGGAGGAGGUGUAGUGUAGAGGAGUGUGUGUGAGGACAGUACAGGAAUAGUAGAUACAGGAGGAGGUGUAGUGUAGAGGAGUGUGUGUGAGGACGGUACAGGAAUAGUAGAUACAGGAGGUGUAGUGUAGAGGAGUGUGUGUGAGGACAGUACAGGAAUAGUAGAUACAGGAGGAGGUGUAGUGUAGAGGAGUGUGUGUGAGGACGGUACAGGAAUAGUAGAUACAGGAGGAGGUGUAGUGUAGAGGAGUGUGUGUGAGGACGGUACAGGAAUAGUAGAUACAGGAGGAGGUGUAGUGUAGAGGAGUGUGUGUGAGGACGGUACAGGAAUAGUAGAUACAGGAGGAGGUGUAGUGUAGAGGAGUGUGUGUGAGGACGGUACAGGAAUAGUAGAUACAGGAGGAGGUGUAGUGUAGAGGAGUGUGUGUGAGGACGGUACAGGAAUAGUAGAUACAGGAGGAGGUGUAGUGUAGAGGAGUGUGUGUGAGGACGGUACAGGAAUAGUAGAUACAGGAGGAGGUGUAGUGUAGAGGAGUGUGUGUGAGGACGGUACAGGAAUAGUAGAUACAGGAGGAGGUGUAGUGUAGAGGAGUGUGUGUGAGGACGGUACAGGAAUA